AGCAGGCCUGGAACAGAAGUGAGGGCCUCUCCCUGUCUACCCUUUCCUUUAGGUCCAAGCUGACCUCCCUGCUGUCCUUCCUGCCCCUUCUCGCCACCAGAGGCAGGGCUGGCCUGCCAUCCCAGCUCUCAGUGCUCUCUUCAGCUUGCACUGCUCUAGGCUGGGGAUGGAUGUGAAGAGGAAGCCUGCACCCUGCUGCCUGGAAUCUGACUUCACGCUCCGAGUGUGACCUGGCACUCAGGACGGAAGAUUCCUGGGAGAAGGAUGCCAGCCAGCCAGCACUGAUUGAACUACUAUGGACAGAGUAUUCCACCAGAAUGUAUGGGGCUUGGUAUGGUUUUACUAUAAUUCUGUUAUCGUGGUUAAGAUCAGGUGAGAAUGUCUGCAAGGGGUGAGCUCACCCGAACACAGGAAGCAUGCUUCUGCCAUGAGCCUUGAGGAUCUUUAGGGCUUUCCUUUUCAGUAUGGGGCUCAAAGGCUUCUGCUCUGCAGUUUUGAACAUUCAGAACGUUUAAUAUGAUUUUUAAAAAUCAGAGUGUGCACUCACUGAUGCUAAAGUUGAGGAAUACCCCCUGCAGGAAGGAGGAAAAGGUGAAUUUGGAAGGGCUGAGGGGACAAUGAAUGAAGUUUCUACUCUGUCAAGACUAGGAACUCUCGGGAUUGAUACCAGGGUUUUAUCUCAGAUCGAGUCCUGGAUUCGACUAAUUUCUUCUGGAGGAAAAUGAUGAUGAGCAUGAAGACAGUGAGACAUUUUUGCAGUCAGUCUCUGAAGCUGGAAUAGUAGAGCCCCGUCAGGACGUGGUGGGGCCACCCAGGACAGUGGCUGGCAGGGAGCACAAGUUCAGAGUGACCACAAUGACUGACAGUCAAUCUGCAGGUGGAAAGAACCUUCAGCCUAGAGCUAAGAGCCAUGUAAGGUUGGCACCUGAGGAAAAGACAGUGCCCCAUGUCCCUAGGAGCAAAAAAGGGACCACACCAGAGGGAUUUGGUGAAACAAGGACAGAGAAGCAGCUGGGAUGGGCAGAAUGUGCGCUGGGAAGGGGCGACCUCCACAUGCAGUGUUAAACACGCUAGUGACACUGUGGUGCUUAUUAAUAAGAAUCCCGGUGGGUGAGCACAGCUUCAGUAAUUGUCUGUGUCCUUAACAUGCUCCUUGGGCAAUUUUAAAAUAUAGCAGAGCUGGGGAACCACUAGUUUAAAAAAAUCAUUCUGAGUCUGAGCUAAUUAUGUUCCUUGUGCAAAUCAAUGAACUUCUAGGUUUGUGAUUUUCCUGAACCUGGAGGGUUGUAAGGAGACUGCUUCAGCAUGGACUUACAUGUUGGUACCCUCUAAUGCUUCGUCAUUAUGAUCAGCGUUUUAGGGUUUCCAGUUUCUGCCUGAGAAGGUGGGGGGGGGUCUCUCCAUGGGCCAAAAUCCAGAAACCGUAAGGACGUUGUCCUCCCCACUGGCCUUGGACGGUGGUCCUGCUACACAGAAGACUGUUUGUAGUUGAGGAAGGGAGACAGAGCUGGUUACUGACACCGUGGAACACUGUGUAAGCCAUCCCACCAGCCUGGCGCCCAUGAAGGGUAAGAGCUGGAGACCGGCCUGGGGGUUGUUUUACAUGCAAAAUAAAUGAUGCCUGUGAAUUUGGAAUAUGCCAGAGCUUCAGAAGAUCCUCGAAAAGUACACAAUAGUGUGCUUACAGAAAUCCAAAACCUCAGGGCACUUCCCCGGGCAAGGCUGUGAUGUGUAUUUUCUGUCCUUGGGGAAGGUGGGACAGGGCGAGCAGGGACUGAGCUUGCAGGACAAGGGUUCCAAGGCCAGUGCAGUGCAGUCAGGGCCAAGAGGAUCAGAGGCCUCGGGGAGCUGCCCACUCUCCUGGGGCUCGGAGGACACAGAUCCUCACGGACGGCUGUGCUGCUGGGAAGUUAGGGGGGUCCCAGUGGACAGAGGCUCCCUCACAGGAGACAGGCUGGGGCCUGAGGUUCUGCUUCAUUCCCAGGAGGAUUAAGAGGGCUGAACAUGGGCUGAGGGAGCCUGGGUCCAAGUUUACCUUCUUUGGUCCAGAUUCCCGCAGCAUGGAGCAAGGGAAUGUGCUGCUCCCUUCCUGGCUGCCCUCAGUUCCUGGGCUGAGAGAAGACUUCUGACCAGCCCAGGAGUAAGCCUACUUCCUCAGGAGACAGACGGAUCCCGGUUCUCAUCACCAGGAUGGCUUGCAGCAUGUUCCUCCUUGGGUCUCAGUCUUCCUCAUCUGUAAGGUGGCAUAACACACUGCUUGGGUGUGGGGACCAGCUUGACAAAUGUCAGCCACUGUAAUGAAACAGUGGGCCUCUCUAGAACAGAAACCACAUUUCCCACCUCUGCUGAUCCGCCUGGAGCAGCUUAACCCUGUACUGGUGUAGGGGAAUGAGGGACUGACAAGGUGACCCAGAUCUGUUUCUGUCUUCAGCCCUACAGUACAUCCAUUCAUUCCUGCACCUGGUGAGACCCUGCAUGGAGCUGCUGCAUCAUGUGAAGAAGGCAGAUCCCAGCACUGCGGUGCCCACCUGGAUGUGAGAUGUUAGGGGUAUUAUUUAGUCUCUUUGGGCCUCCUUUCUCUCAUUGGUUAAGAAAGGUAACAUCUCUUACUUUCUAGCAAAGGUUUCAGGAGCAUGGGAAUUUGUGCUAAGUGUGGAGACAGCGGCUGGCUCUGUAAGUAGUCCAGUAUUAACGACCGUAGUUAUGUGAGUAUUGGGGGUCGCAAACAGAAAUACUCUUGGAGACCAGGCAUAUGGUAUAAACAAACAAAUGGAGCAAUCUGGGUGUAGGCAAAAUCAUAGCGCAAUCUUGUGAGGAGCUCUUGUUGACACUGUUCCAGGUCAGCGAGCCAUCAGGGAGCAGAGGGCUGUGGUGAGCUCUGCCUAUAGGGCCAGCUGCUUUGCCGGAGAUUGUUGCCGUGUGAAUGCAAUUUUUCUAAAGAGUAAUAGUGGUAAUCCCAGUUUUUAAAUGAAUUCCCUUGGUUGUUAAUUACUGGCUAAAUUAUUCCAUUUUUCCUUUCCUUAUUUUUUCAGGGCAAAGUAAGGACUCAUUCUCUGAGCUAUGUGCCCUUACCCUAUUGUUUUAAAAUCAUGCUUCUGGAAGAUGUGAAUGCCAACCUAUAUGCUUGUGAGUAUUAUGAAUUCAGACUCCUAGUGACCUUGCUGCCUGCCUGGAGCAGAGUUGAAUGAAAGAAGAGAGAACGAAUGAAUUAAAGAGACAAGUGAACCUGGAAGCUGACCUUACUAUUAAGUCCAUCUCUGGUGCAAUGGACUUGAUGUGUUGAAAUCUGAAUGUCCUGAUGAGCUGGCCGGCACUGCCCUUUCCUUCUGUGUCACCUUGGCCAUGUUUUCCCAAUAUUCCAAAGCUAAAAUGAGGAUUUCCAAAGCUAAAAUGAGGAUAUAAUGAUCAUCCUGGGAAGGUGAUUGUGAUGAUUAAAUAUGGCAGGGCUCAUAAAGUGCCUGGAAAACAGUGCUUGAGCCCUAGAAGAAUCUCGAUAAAUGACAGCCACUGCUGUGAGCUGGAAUCGCACCUGUUGGUGAUUCACCAGGCCUCUGCUUGGUCCUUGUAUGAGUAUGACAUAGGCAGUGGCUUCUCAGCACAGCACUGACAUAGUUGAGCAAGAGAGGAAGGAGGCUGGAAGAGAGAGGCAGGGCUCUGCAGGUUGGUAGGGAAGCCUCAGAAGCACAGCAGCCUGGAGAAAUUUAUCACAGAGGCGAAAACCUCGGUGCACCUUGGCCCCCGACACAGCCCUACACAUAAUAGUUCAGCCUGGUAAUCAAAUUUGAACUGUGAUGAUCUUGGCUUGAUGGAAAACAUAUUCAAUUAUAUUCUAAGGGCUCUUAGGAAAAUAAGGAAAGCGGAAAGAUGUUUUAGAAAGAUUGCCAUGAAAAUGUAGGAACACACUGGCGUUAAAAUGAGCUAAGUCUUCAGUCAUGGAGAUGGUGUGCUUGGGAUACACAGGCUCCAUCUUCUUCAUCUCUGGCAAGGAAGCGAGGUGCUAUUUUGUGGGCGCAGCCUGAGCUCUCACCCUGCAGGUGCUGCUAGCUUUGGGAGAGAGGUGCGCAGCUGCUGAACACCCGAAGUCUCUCCCCUCCCCCGGGGCCAGCCAAGUUGAGACUUCAGUGCUGCUCUCACACUUUGCAAAUCCACAUGGUGGCUUGAGGACAGACGUGAGGGCCGCCCAAAUUCAGACUCUCUGCCCCCCCCACUGACAUUUUAAUUAUGUGCAACUUUUCUUUGUGCUUGUGAAAUACAAAUUUAUUUAAAACUGCAAAUUUAUUUAAAAGAUUAUUUAUUUGGAUUUCAA